CCAGCUACUCUGGAGGCUGAGGCAGGAGAAUCACUUGAACCCAGGAGGCAGAGAUUACAGUGAGCCGAGAUUACCCCCAUUGCACUCCAGCCUGGGGGAUGACAGCGAGACUUCGUCUCAAAAAAAAAAGAAAUGGGGUUUUGCCAUGUUGGCCAGGUUGGUCUCCAACUUCUGACCUCAGGUGAUCCAUUUGCCUCGGCCUACCAAAGUGCUAGGAUUACAGGUGUGAGCCACUGCACUCAGCCAUCUUUUUUUUUUUCUUUAAAAAUAAUUGUUUCAAAGAGACAGUAUCGGCCGGGCGCAGUGGCCCAAGCCUGUAAUCCCGGCACUUUGGGAGGCCGAGACAGGUGGAUCACGAGGUCAGGAGAUCGAGACCAUCCUGGCUAACACAGUGAAACCCCGUCUCUACUAAAAAAUACAAAAAACUAGCUGGGCACGGUGGCAGGCGCCUGUAGUCCCAGCUACUCAGGAGGCUGAGGCAGGAGAAUGGCAUAAACCCGGGAGGCGGAGCUUGCAGUGAGCUGAGAUCGGCCACUGCACUCCAGCCUGGGCCACAGAGAGAGACUCCGUCUCAAAAAAAAAAAAACAAAAACAAACAAACAAAAAAACCAAAGAGACAGUAUCUUACUUCUAGAAUCUUCAGAGAGAGAGAAAAAAAGAGAGAGACGUAUCUUGCUCUGUCACCUAGGCUAGAGUGUAGUGGUGUGAUCAUAGCUCACCGUAACCUUGAACUCCUUGGCUUAAGGGAUCCUCCUGCCUCGGCCUCCAUCCUUCUCAGCCUCCCCUGUGCCACCAUGCCUGGCUUUUUUUCUACCUUUUGUAGAGGCAUGGCCUCCAUAUGUUGAGCAGGCUGAUCUCAAACUCCUGGCCUCAAGCGAUCCUCCUGCCUCUGCCUCCCAGAGCACUGGGAUUAUAGGUGUGAGCCAACUCGCACAGCCAGAAUGUGCAUUUUUAACAAAAUUCCCAGAGUACGAGAGACAGAUUUCUUCAGGGAGGUCACAUGCAACUUGGUGUCGGCAUUUUCAUACACCGUUGUUGUAUAGUCUUUCUAGAGGAUGACUUACCGAUAUGCAUCAAAAACCUUACAGUGCAGCCAGGCGCAGUGGCUCAUGCCUGUAAUCCCAGCACUUUAGGAUGUCGAGGUGGGUGGAUCACCCGAUGUCAGGAGGUCAAGACUAGCCUGGCCAACAUGGUGAAACCCUAUCUCUACUAAAAAUACAAAAAUUAGGGUGUGCAUGGUGGCUUACCUCUGUAAUCCCAGCACUUUGGGAGGCCGAGGCAGAUGGAUCACGAGGUCAGGAAUUCAAGACUAGCCUGACCAACAUGGUGAAACCCUGUCUCUACUAAAAAUACAAAAUUAGCUGAGCAUAGUGGUAUGAACCUGUAGUCCCAGUUACUCAGAGGACUGAGGCAGGAGAAUCGCUUGAACCCGGAAGGCAGAGGUUGCAGUGAGCUGAAAUCACACCGUUGCAUCCCAGUCUGGGUGACAGAGUGAGACUCCAUCUCAAAAAAAAAAAAA
rnacentral:lncRNA from 1 species